rnacentral:tRNA from 1 species
CUGUGGAUGUAGCUCAGUGGUAGAGUGCUUGCCUAGCAUAUGUGAGACCCUGGGUUCAAUCCCCAGCAAUAGA